GACGAACGCUGGCGGCGUGCCUAAUACAUGCAAGUCGAACGAACGGAUAAAGAGCUUGCUCUUUUGAAGUUAGUGGCGGACGAGUGAGUAACACGUGGGUAACCUGCCUCACAGCUGGGGAUAACAUCGAGAAAUCGAUGCUAAUACCGAAUGUGCUGAACAUCAUAAGAUGUUCAAGUGAAAGACGGUUUCGGCUGUCACUGUGAGAUGGACCCGCGCUGGAUUAGCUAGUUGGUAAGGUAAUGGCUUACCAAGGCGACGAUCCAUAGCCGACCUGAGAGGGUGAUCGGCCACAUUGGGACUGAGACACGGCCCAAACUCCUACGGGAGACAGCAGUAGGGAAUCUUCGGCAAUGGACGAAGUCUGACCGAGCAACGCCGCGUGAGCGAAG
rnacentral:rRNA from 1 species